rnacentral:rRNA from 1 species
AGGCGUAGUCGAUGACAAGCAGGUUGAGAUUCCUGCACUAGUUUAUUUUGUUUAAGCGAUGGAGGGACGUAGGAGGCUAAGGAAAGCGCACGGCUGGAAAUGUGCGCCCAAGCAGCAAGUCUGACAGUGAGUGAAAUGCUUGCAGUCUUAAGGACAAGCUGUGAUGGGGAGCGAAAUUAUAGUAGCGAAGUUCCUGAUGUCACACUGCCAAGAAAAGCUUCUAGUGAGAAAUAAACUACCCGUACCGCAAACCGACACAGGUAGUCGAGGAGAGU